rnacentral:rRNA from 1 species
ACCUACGGGUGGCAGCAGUGAGGAAUAUUGGUCAAUGGGCGAGAGCCUGAGCCAGCCAAGUCGCGUGAAGGAUGAAGGUUUUAUGAAUUGUAAACUUCUUUUGCAGGGGAAUAAAGUACGGUACGUGUACCGUUUUGUAUGUACCCUGAGAAUAAGGAUCGGCUAACUCCGUGCCAGCAGCCGCGGUAAUACGGAGGAUCCGAGCGUUAUCCGGAUUUAUUGGGUUUAAAGGGUGCGUAGGUGGUUUGAUAAGUCAGCGGUGAAAGUUUGCAGCUUAACUGUAAAAAUGCCGUUGAAACUGUCGGACUUGAGUGUAAAUGAGGUAGGCGGAAUGCGUGGUGUAGCGGUGAAAUGCAUAGAUAUCACGCAGAACUCCGAUUGCGAAGGCAGCUUACUAAGCUACAACUGACACUGAAGCACGAAAGCGUGGGGAUCAAACAGGAUUAGAUACCCUUGUAGUCUAA